AGCCAUUUUGGCUCAAGGUUCAUUGGUGCCUCUGACGCGCGUUGGCCAUGACGCCGACUUGUCCCACUGCCGAACUGAGUUGCCAUCCCUGUCGCGCGGGAUGUACAAACCGACGCAGCCUGUCCGAGCCCCCGCAUGUCCGUAGCCAUUUUGGCUCCAGGUUCGCUGGUGCCUCUGACGCGCGUUGGCCAUGGCGCCGACUUGUCCCACUGCCGAACUGAGUUGCCAUCCCUGUCGCGCGGGAUGUAAAAACCGACGCAGCCUGUCCGAGCCCCCGCAUGUCCGUAGCCAUUUUGGCUCCAGGUUCACUGGUGCCUCUGACGCGCGUUGGCCAUGGCGCCGACUUGUCCCACUGCCGAACUGAAUUGCCAUCCCUGUCGCGCGGGAUGUAAAAACCGACGCAGCCUGUCCGAGCCCCCGCAUGUCCGUAGCCAUUUUGGCUCCAGGUUCGCUGGUGCCUCUGACGCGCGUUGGCCAUGACGCCGACUUGCCCCACUGCCGAACUGAGUUGCCAUCCCUGUCGCGCGGGAUGUAAAAACCGACGCAGCCUGUCCGAGCCCCCGCAUGUCCGUAGCCAUUUUGGCUCCAGGUUCAUUGGUGCCUCUGACGCGCGUUGGCCAUGACGCCGACUUGUCCCACUGCCGAACUGAGUUGCCAUCCCUGUCGCGCGGGAUGUACAAACCGACGCAGCCUGUCCGAGCCCCCGCAUGUCCGUAGCCAUUUUGGCUCCAGGUUCGCUGGUGCCUCUGACGCGCGUUGGCCAUGGCGCCGACUUGUCCCACUGCCGAACUGAGUUGCCAUCCCUGUCGCGCGGGAUGUAAAAACCGACGCAGCCUGUCCGAGCCCCCGCAUGUCCGUAGCCAUUUUGGCUCCAGGUUCACUGGUGCCUCUGACGCGCGUUGGCCAUGGCGCCGACUUGUCCCACUGCCGAACUGAAUUGCCAUCCCUGUCGCGCGGGAUGUAAAAACCGACGCAGCCUGUCCGAGCCCCCGCAUGUCCGUAGCCAUUUUGGCU
rnacentral:misc_RNA from 1 species